rnacentral:lncRNA from 1 species
UACUUCAUCAUAAUCUGAAUGUAAUAUACAUUGAGAAAAAUAUUUAUGAUAAUAUCAUCAAUACAGUAUUGAAUAUCUCAAAAAAAAUAAAAGAUAGUACAAAAGCUCAUCUUGAUUACAGAAAAUAAAAAUUCGAUUGGAGUUGCAUUUAGUUCAUCGAGGUGAUAGAUUUUUUAUACCACCUACAUGUUAUUCAUUGUUUGGCA